AAGACCUUGCGCUUUUGGAGCGGCCGAUGCCUGAUUAGCUUGUUGGUAAGGUAAAAGCUUACCAAGGCUUCGAUCAGUAGCUGGUCUGAGAGGACGACCAGCCACACUGGGACUGAGACACGGCCCAGACUCCUACGGGAGGCAGCAGUGGGGAAUUUUGGACAAUGGGGGCAACCCUGAUCCAGCCAUGCCGCGUGAGUGAAGAAGGCCUCCGGGUUGUAAAGCUCUUUCAGCCGGAACGAAACGGUUACGGAUAACACCCGUGACUACUGACGGUACCGGAAGAAGAAGCACCGGCUAACUACGUGCCAGCAGCCGCGGUAAUACGUAGGGUGCGAGCGUUAAUCGGAAUUACUGGGCGUAAAGCGUGCGCAGGUGGUUUUGUAAGUCAGAUGUGAAAGCCCCGGGCUCAACCUGGGAACU
rnacentral:rRNA from 1 species